AUCAUAUCAAUAAGCGGAGGAAAAGAAACCAACAGGGAUUGCCUCAGUAACGGCGAGUGAAGCGGCAACAGCCCAGAUUUGAAAUCCGGCCCCAGGCCCGAGUUGUAAUCUGCAGAUGAGUCUUUGGGUUACGCGCCGUCCAAGUUCCCUGGAAUGGGACGCCGGAGAGGGUGAGAGCCCCGUACCGACGCGCGCCGCACCCGUGCAAAGCUCAUUCGAAGAGUCGAGUAGUUUGGAAAUGCUGCUCUAAUUGUGGGGUAAAUCUCCCAUAAGGCUAAAUACCGGCCAGAGACCGAUAGCGCACAAGUAGCGUGAGCGAAAGAUGAAAAGAGCCUUGGAUAAGGGCGUCAAAAAGCAUGUGAAAUUGUUGUGGGGGAAGCGCUCAGUGCCAGACGUGGCGGCGGUUGGUUACCCGGCGUUCCUCGCCGGCGCACUCUGCCGUCGCCAGGCCAGCAUGGGUUCGCUUCGGGGCUUACUACCGCGAGGAACGUGCCCCUUCGCGGUGUUAUAGCCUUGUGGCGACGUCCCGG
rnacentral:rRNA from 1 species